GUUUUCUUGAUAUUUUGGUAUUUAUACAGAUUUUUCAUUCCAUGAGAUAUUCAUUUUAAUCGUCGACAUAAGGAUUCGUGCUAAUGUAUGCCACGUGUAACACGCGUGAUUUGGAUAACAAUGUUUGAAAACAUUAUCGUAUCACGAUAGCUACAUUUGCAAAUCUGUAGUCAGGAAAUAAAUUAGUAUGGGCUCGAACCGGCUCCAGCAAGGUCGGCAAAACAGGGAAUAUCGUCGCUUUGGCAAGUUCCAACGGAAACGGAGUUUUUGACGGAUAUCGAAUGACUCGAGCCUCGGCAAUGUGUUCCACUAGACAAUCCAGCUGUUACACGCCUGCACGCACCGGCUGAACCGAGCGGACAGACACGUUAAAUGCCACUGCACCUUCGCUGCAUUGCGUAUCGGCCUCGUAGGUAAUCAACUUCGCCCGCUUUUGUACAUGGAAAUUGCAUCCCGCUUCGUGUAAAGCGAACAUUCAUUCGGGUACGAGUCGGAGAAAGUUAUUUCCUAUUUGCUUUUGCUGUUUAUUUAUUUGAUGAAAAACGUAAAUUGUUCGACUUUUGAAAGAAAUUCCUGAUAAAAAUAUCGUGAUUGGAAUAAUAAAGAAUUCGUUGCAUCCAAGUAUGUAAUUCUAAUAAUUGUACAAUUGUAGAAUAACUAGUUUUCUGAUUGAGAAAUCAGCAAUCUUCGAUAAAAAGUAAUUACCUAAAAAAGUAGUUAAUGAUAAGAUUUUGACAUUUUAAAUUAUUUAGGAGAAAUAUAUUGACGAAUAACGUAAUACUGUUAAAAUUCUUUUUACAUUAGAAUUUUCCAGAAUGAAAAUUCUUUUCUUAUCGACUCUGCAACGAAGACAAUAACUUUUACUUGUUUAAAAUAUCUAAUUAUUCAAAAGUUCUUGAUAAAUGGUAAAAUAUUCGAGAAAUAGAAACUUUGCAAAGUUUCUGGAUUCAUAAAGCAGAAAUGUAUUGUUCGAUAGAUUAUGAACUUUUGUUCUAUCUUUAUUAUUCAUAAAAUCAAUACUUUUUAUAAAUUUCAAGUAAAUAUAACUGAGAUACAACUUGAGAUACAACGAUAAUAUAGAAAUAAUUCUUUUACUAACUUCUUUUAUUAUUAUUUUUUUAAUAAUAUUUGGUUUUUAAAUUAACGAAUAUGAGUAUGUUAUAAAAUAUAAAUAAAUACAAGCAUAAUUUGCCAGAUCAAACUCUCGUUUCUAAUAAGUUUUCUCAAUCUGUAGUAAAGCAAGAAGAAGGGGUAUUUUGUUAAUAUUUCAUUCGUUUCUUAAAAAUAUUACCAUUUGUUCGCGAAUUUUCCUCGAGAUUUUAUAUUUUUACUCUUGUACAAGUACGAAUGAGAUAAAAAAGACUCUCUUUUAUAAUAUUACAUUAUACAUUAGAUAAAAUAUUUCCAUAAAUUAUUUUUAUUAUUCGUUGAAAUCAUUUUGCAAUAAGCACGAAUAAAAGACAAUGAAAAAUU